rnacentral:rRNA from 1 species
AAUGAUACCCGGGUAGUCCACGCCGUAAACGAUGAGUGCUAAGUGUUAGGGGGUUUCCGCCCCUUAGUGCUGCAGCUAACGCAUUAAGCACUCCGCCUGGGGAGUACGGCCGCAAGGCUGAAACUCAAAGGAAUUGACGGGGGCCCGCACAAGCGGUGGAGCAUGUGGUUUAAUUCGAAGCAACGCGAAGAACCUUACCAGGUCUUGACAUCCUCUGACACUCCCAGAGAUAGGACGUUCCCCUUCGGGGGACAGAGUGACAGGUGGUGCAUGGUUGUCGUCAGCUCGUGUCGUGAGAUGUUGGGUUAAGUCCCGCAACGAGCGCAACCCUUGUUCUUAGUUGCCAGCAUUCAGUUGGGCACUCUAAGGAGACUGCCGGUGACAAACCGGAGGAAGGUGGGGAUGACGUCAAAUCAUCAUGCCCCUUAUGACCUGGGCUACACACGUGCUACAAUAGAUGGUACAAAGGGCAGCAAAGCCGCGAGGCCUAGCCAAUCCCAUAAAACCAUUCUCAGUUCGGAUUGUAGG